AACGGCCGCGGUAUCCUAACCGUGCAAAGGUAGCAUAAUCACUUGCCUAUUAAUUGUAGGCUAGAAUGAAUGGGUUAACGAAAUAAAGACUGUCUCAAUUAAUCACCUAAAAAUUACUAUCUACCUGAAGAAGAGUAGAUAAUCUCGAAGGACAAGAAGACCCUAUAGAGCUUAAUUUUAAUUAUAGGACCACACUAUAAAAAUAUUCGGUUGGGGCGACCCAGGGCUAAUCAAUCACCCACUAGAUAAAAGAUAUAUAAAUCAACUAAUUGACCCCUAAAAGAUCAUAAGAACAAGCUACCUUAGGGAUAACAGGCUAAUCCCACUCAAGAGUCCUUAUCAACAGUGGGGUUUGGCACCUCGAUGUUGGCUUAGG
rnacentral:rRNA from 1 species